GCCACGGUGGUCUAGCGGUUAGAACCCUGGCCUUGUAAUCCUGGGGUCUCGGGUUCGAUUCCCGGCGGUGCCC
rfam:Zootermopsis nevadensis contig32200, whole genome shotgun sequence.